rnacentral:rRNA from 1 species
UACGUAGGGUGCAAGCGUUGUCCGGAAUUAUUGGGCGUAAAGAGCUCGUAGGCGGUCUGUCGCGUCGGCUGUGAAAACCCGAGGCUCAACCUCGGGCCUGCAGUCGAUACGGGCAAACUAGAGUACUGCAGGGGAGACUGGAAUUCCUGGUGAUAGCGGUGAAAUGCGCAGAUAUCAGGAGGAACACCGGUGGCGAAGGCGGGUCUCUGGGCAGUAACUGACGCUGGAGGAGCGAAAGCCGUGGG